GUAGAGUUGGCAUUUGAAUGCAGGCGUGCAUUUUUGUGUAAUUUGUUUUUUGAAUAUCUGGUGUGUUUUCAUGUAAUGUUGAUAUUUGGAUGCAGGGGUGUAUUUGUGUGUAGUGUUGGCAAAAUGCUGAGAUGUAUUCACAUAUACUCAAAUAUACACACACUGGCACACAUGCAGAUACAUAUACACACAGAUGCACACACUGGCAUACAGAUACACAGACACAUAGGUAUAUACAUGCAGACACAUAGAAACAUAGUAAUGCACAGAUACAGACAAACACUGACACACAGAUACAAACACACACACACACAUAUACAGAGGCACAGACACAAAUACAGAUACACACAUACAGAUACACAGGUAUAAGUGUGUGUUUACUGUAUGCAGUGCGUGUGUGUAUCGUGUAUGCAGGGCAUGUGUGCAUAGUGUAUGCAGUAUGUGUAGUGUAUAUAGUGUGUAGUGAGCAGUGUGUAUUGUUUGUGUGCAUGUGUCCCUCCCUGACUCUUACCUGUGUCCUGGGAGGAGGGACACACUAUAUUCCCUUGUGGUCCGGUGGCACAGUAUGGUUGCCCAGGAGUCUCCAUGUUUGAUUCACAUCCAGCAGCAGCAUGUCCUCUGUUCUUGCGAUCCGUGAAAGUGUUGCAGUGGG